UCACUGCUGAUUGGAGAAAGAAGAGC
rnacentral:piRNA from 1 species